rnacentral:rRNA from 1 species
ACGGAGGGUGCAAGCGUUAUCCGGAAUCACUGGGUUUAAAGGGUGCGUAGGCGGUUUGAUAAGUCAGAGGUGAAAGAUUAUCGCUCAACGAUAAAAUUGCCUUUGAUACUGUCGAACUUGAAUCAGAAUGAGGUUGGCGGAAUGUGACAUGUAGCGGUGAAAUGCUUAGAUAUGUCAUGGAACACCGAUUGCGAAGGCAGCUGACUGGAACUUGAUUGACGCUGAGGCACGAAAGCGUGGGGAGCAAACAGG